rnacentral:rRNA from 1 species
GGAACCUGUCCUAUAAUUGAUGGUCCACGUUUUAUCCUACUUAUUUUAUUAGUUUACAUAUCGCCGUAGGUUGAAUAUUUUUAUAGAAAAAUAAUAUUCAAAAAUUUUUAAGAAAAAAUAAGUCAGGUCAAGGUGUAGCUUAUAAAUAAGAAGAGAUGGGUUACAAUAAAUUUAUUUAAAUGGAUAAUUAUUUGAAAUAUUAGUUUAAAAUUGGAUUUGAAAGUAAUUUUAAUUAAAUUAUUAAAAUGAUUUUUGCUCUAAAAUAUGCACAUAUCGCCCGUCAUUUUCAUUAUAAAAUGAAACAAGUCGUAACAUAGUAGGUGUACUGGAAAGUGUACCUAGAAUGUCAAAUUAGAGCUUGGUAUAAAGCAUUUUAUUUACAUUAAAAAGUUAUUGUGAAAAUCAAUUUAAUUUGAAUUUUUAUAAUUAUUAAAAUUUAAAUUUUUAAUUUAUUUAAAUAAAAUAAUUUAUUUUUUUAUUAAAAAAAAUGAAAAAAUUUUCUUUAUUAUAGUAAAUUAGUAUUGUGAAAGAAAUUAUUAAAAUAAUUUAAAGAAUAAUUAAUUUUUAGUACCUUGUGCAUCAGGGUUUAUUAAAUAAAAUUUCAGUAUUUAAUUUUCUCGAAUUUAAAAGAGCUAUAAAAAUAUAAUUUUUAUUGUUUAAUAAAUAUUAAGAAUAUUUUUAUAGAAAUGAAACGUUAUUCGUUUUUAAAUAUAUCUAGUUUUUUAAGAAAUUAAUUUAAUUUAUUUAAUAUAAAUAUUACUUUAAAUUUUUAAUGUAAUAUUAAUAUUAGAAAAUAUUUUAAGGGAUGAGCUUUAAGAUAGAGUUUUAUAAACAUUUAAGGUUUUUGAAUAAAUAGGAUUAUAAAUUUUCAAUUUUAAUAAUAUGUUAUAAUUAUUUCAAAUUAGAUUAUAAUUUAUCUUUGUUUUAAAUUUUUUAUUAAAAUAUUAAUUAUAAUUUUUAAAAUUAAGAGAUAAUGAUAAAAUUAGUAUAAAUUUUUGUAUAAAAUUUAAGUAUUAAGGUUAAAUAAAGGAAUUCGGCAAAUUAUUUUUCACCUGUUUAAUUUCAAACCGGUGUGAGCCAGGUUGGUUUCUAUCUCGAAAUAGUUAAAAUAUUUUAGUACGAAAGGAUUUAAUAUUUAAUUAAAAAUUUUAUAAUUGAAUAAUAAUAAUUUAAAUAGUUAUUUUGGCAGAAUAGUGCAAUAGAUUUAGAAUCUUUAUAUGUAAUUUUUACAAAUAACACUUGAAAUUAUGUGAUUUAAUUUUAAUAUUAAUUUCUAGUUUAAUUUUAUCUAUUUGUAUUAUAGUUGGUGUUGCUUUUUUAACACUAUUAGAACGAAAAGUUUUAGGAUAUAUUCAAAUUC